UACAAAAAGCUUUUAAGGGCAAAUGGUGGAUGCCUUGGGUGAUAGAGGCGAUGAAGGACGUACUAAGCUGCGAUA
rnacentral:rRNA from 1 species